rnacentral:rRNA from 1 species
GAUGAACGCUGGCGGCGUGCCUAAUACAUGCAAGUCGAACGCUUCACUUCGGUGAAGAGUGGCGAACGGGUGAGUAAUACAUAAGUAACCUGGCAUCUACAGGGGGAUAACUGAUGGAAACGUCAGCUAAGACCGCAUAGGUGUAGAGAUCGCAUGAACUCUAUAUGAAAAGUGCUACGUGACUGGUAGAUGAUGUACUUAUGGCGCAUUAGCUUGUUGGUAGGGUAACGGCCUACCAAGGCGACGAUGCGUAGCCGACCUGAGAGGGUGACCGGCCACACUGGGACUGAGACACGGCCCAGACUCCUACGGGAGGCAGCAGUAGGGAAUUUUCGGCAAUGGGGGAAAGCCUGACCGAGCAACGCCGCGUGAAGGAAGAAGUAAUUCGUUAUGUAAACUUCUGUCAUAGAGGAAGAACGGUGGAUAUAGGGAAUGAUAUCCAAGUGACGGUACUCUAUAAGAAAGCCACGGCUAACUACGUG